rnacentral:rRNA from 1 species
UACAGAGGUCUCAAGCGUUGUUCGGAUUCAUUGGGCGUAAAGAGCUCGUAGGCGGUCUGUUGCGUCUGCUGUGAAAACUCGGGGCUUAACCCCGAGCCUGCAGUGGAUACGGGCAGACUAGAGGUAGGUAGGGGAGAAUGGAAUUCCCGGUGUAGCGGUGAAAUGCGCAGAUAUCGGGAGGAACACCGGUGGCGAAGGCGGUUCUCUGGACAGUUCCUGACACUGAGGCACGAAGGCCAGGGGAGCAAACGGG